AGAAUCAACGCUGGCGGCGUGCCUAACACAUGCAAGUCGAACGAGAAAGUGGAGCAAUCCAUGAGUAAAGUGGCGACCGGGUGAGUAACACGUGACUAACCUACCUUCGAGUGGGGGAUAACCUCGGGAAACCGGGGCUAAUACCGCAUAAAAUCUUUGGAUCGGAAGAACUGGAGAUCAAUGGAGCAAUUCGCUUGAAGAGGGGGUCGCGGCUGAUUAGCUAGUUGGCGGGGUAAUGGCCCACCAAGGCUUUGAUCGGUAGCCGGCCUGAGAGGGCGCACGGCCACACUGGAACUGAAACACGGUCCAGACUCCUACGGGAGGCAGCAGUGGGGAAUUUUGCGCAAUGGGGGAAACCCUGACGCAGCAACGCCGCGUGGAGGAUGAAGUCCCUUGGGACGUAAACUCCUUUCGAUCGGGACGAUUAUGACGGUACCGGAAGAAGAAGCCCCGGCUAACUUCGCGCUAGCAGCCGC
rnacentral:rRNA from 1 species